CUUACUUCCCCGUUUUAAAACAUUUUUUCACGACCUGUGUCCCACGCUAUGGUUUGUGUCCAACGAGCAGCCUUCCCGGCUCGCUCCACAACUCAAUACAGUUACAUGAGUACAGCGCCUAUGUCCAGAUCCGUCUGCCAGCUGCUUGUUGCUGGUUUGUGUUUAAAAUGAUAUGUUCACGUAUGUUCAAACGAGCUAUGAACCUUAUGUCACAUUUUUUGACAAACCCGUUAGCUGUGGUGGUUAAACAUAUCGAGCCAGUCCCAUGUAAAUCAUGCAGCAUAAUACAGUGAAACAUGGGUGGCAUAACUUGAUCAUCUCAUUCAAUAUACCGGGUAGUAUUUACUGAGGGAGGCUAUUUUAGGGAGCGUAUCUCCUAUGAAUAUUUUCAUUGGCGCGAAAGGUAGUAAUUUGCAAGGUCAUGACCCUAUGGCCUACGCAACAUAGCGCGUGGUGCAGGGAAGUAGGUCAUGUGAUUUCACGAAGUUCAGGUGGAUGUAAGGGAGGUGUUCAUUUCAUUUGUUGAUAACACAUCAAUUGUGAUAUGAAGGCCAGUCACUGGACGGUCGGUGUAUGAACGUAUACGGUGAUGUCGUGGCUGUCGGGGGAGGAGUGUGUCCCUGUGUCAGCCAUUGCAGAAGUAGGAUAGUUGAUAAAACACGUGGCCACAGCACCAGGACGCUUUUACUGGGAUAGACAUCUAGGGAUGACACACAUGGCUAGCUGUCGGUCCCCAAGAGGCAGGUAUGUUCACACUGUCUCUCACCCUUCAGUUGGUCCACACCAGUUAUGUGGACGACAUCACCUCACAUUGUACAGAUUCGGGUCUUGCUGUAUUGUCAAGCGCAACCUACGUUUUGGAAAGAAAUUAAUUUAGUCUGUUUUCACCAAGUUACACGUCUGUUUUCGGCUUCUUCUCGCCUGGGUGACAUUUGAAGGUACAGGUAUUCGUCUGUGCAUACGGCUAUGUUACUGUUUCUGUUGAAUAUACACGACAGGGCUCAGGUAUAGUGGCUGUACGAGGUCGCCAGAUGUUGCAGCCUAUUUAAGGCACAUCGACAGCUGUGUGUUUGGGUAUUAAAUGACAGUCGAUUAUAGGGGCCUUCACUUGAAUCAGCUAUUGUUAGACAGGUUUAUAGAUAAUGCUCCACCGAGGCAGGGCGACGUCACCUCGGGUUAGGACUAUGAAGGGGUUGAGUUCACACGGCAAGGUCGAUGCCUCGAUGCCCACAUCUGUGGAGCGGUUCAUGACCCACGUUACGUCACGGAAGGACGUGGUUAAGGUUGUGUCGUCGUGAACUGGUUGCCAGGGUAUAGUGGCGGCCGUCCCCAGGGGUCACUCAAGUGUGUUGGAUCCACGUACAGUUGCCAGACACGGUCCGCAGUUUCUACCGGAAGUGCUCACUUCUCAGUGGUGUUUCACUCGACUGUGUCACGUGAUCAGCAACAUCUCGCACUACAUGAUCACGUUUCCUUGUCACUGUUUCGUCCCGUGUGUUAAGCGAGACUGGACGGAAAACUGAUAAGGGCACGUGUUGUGUUUAACUUCCUAGGCGGCGUCCUCAACAACUAUUUCACCUCCUCUUCUGACCGUGUGCUUGGCAUCUAGCUGUCCAAUGAACAAGCUGCAUUCCACACCACAGCCAAUCAGAUAAAUGCCAAUGCUUUCAACCGCCUGGUGCCGUGACUAUGGCGGAAGUCAACUUGCCCUUUACGGAUGGACAUAUACAGGAGCGCAGUGCGCGGGGCAGGACGUUGUUGUGCCGGAAGGUGGAAUAUUGCAGUUAAUGCAUGACUAAGUGAAUUCCUUCACCGUAUCCUCUGACGCAUGGUCUGUUGCACCUUGGUAAUUAUAGUUUUUUUUUGCAUGUGAUAUACUAUUUUCAAGCACCUAAAAACGUUGUUAUAUUUUAUUACCAUUUUCUAGUUUUUGUCACUUGAACCCACUUCACAGUGAGCAUUGUGAUGUAGGGGCCACAUAGCUAUGUAGCCUUCUCCUACCCAGUGUGUGGGGGGCUCAACGGUGUCAGUCGCCUGCCCUGCACCCAGUGUCGCACAAACAUCCCCAGCCAGAUAGUCAAUAGGUGAGGUGAGAGGGGAGCCCCCUGCCUCCCACCAGAUGAUGUGUACAGACACGUCGCCGGUAACCUGCUGACUCCAGCCGCGGAGAAACCGCAACAUUAUUAUCGGGAUCAUACCAAGGGAGGUAACUAGGACAAAGGUAAAACUGUGUUAUCUUUUCCUAUCUCUUUUGUACUCAUCUUCCCAGCACGAAGCCCGGGUGUAUUAUAUUCGCCUGUCACCUCCCCUUGUUAAGCUGAUCAUUCUUUCAUGUUGAGACCAGCUACUGUCACUGUGUGGUUGUGUCUAUGCUUGUCAAGGGAGGAGUAUUUUCAGCUCUCACUCAAGUAUGCUGGGAGUAGCGUACUAUCUAGGCCAACCCAGCAACACUCUGAGUUCAGUGACUCUGCCCUACUUGAUCUAGAUCGAUGAGGGAAUGAACGACUAGGUACAACAGUUCUUCCUCUCAGUGAGCCCGAUCGCAUUUCCCACAGAUACUCCUGCACCCCGACCCGACAAAACCCUUCCCUCAACCAUAUAUAUAACUUCCACCUCAGUACCAUCUUAACCCCAUCUCGCAAUCUACAGUAUCCUGCCUUGGAUGCCCAACCCAUCAUCUCACAGUCCCCUAACCUCAUCCUUAUAUAUUCACAGGUUACAGUCUCACCCCGAACUUUAGCCCAGCACAGUCAACCCCCCCCCCCCCCCCCCCAACCCAUGACGUUGCACAUUCCACAACUCCAUUCCCACUGACUUCAGCUCCUAACAUUCACCGCCCCACAAACCCAGUUUACCUAGGCCUGUGAGCCCCUGCCCCCAGAAUCCCAGCCCAUCAUUACCCCCCAACCCUUAACUCCAGUCAGCCCCCUAUCUCGGAACCCCACCCCACGGUCACUCUAUUGGUUGUUUCAUUCAAUCCGACUGACGUUUAAAAGUGUUCAUCUACUGUCACAAACGUUUUACUUUCCUAGAUCUGAACCCGACCGAGGACCGAACAUACCCUGGAACUAUCCACAGCUGGUGGUUCAGACGUCAUCGGCCAUGUUCAGGCGACUACAAGCGUCUACAGGAUACUCGAUCUCUACCUGUACACCUUAUCAGUUUUUCGUCCAAUAAUUUGUGUGACUGCAUGUUUUGUGAGACUGCAUGCAUGUCCAUGCGAGUUUUGAGAGGUCGGGUGUUGAGAUUUUAUGAACGCUUGGUGAGAAUCCUGAGUGCGUGAAUUUGAAAUUUCAGCUGUCGUGACGUGGGGUAGAGACGGGUGGCGACGGUCGACAUCAUAUCACCAAUUUCACGUUUCCUUGUCACUUGUUCGUCCCGUGUGCUACUGGUCACUGGACGGAGAACUGAUAAGGGCUUGUGGGUGACCAUCCGGCGGAAUGACCAAAGCCCAUACCAACCGAAACCACAAAGCAAGAGGGUGGACACCCCGUGACCCGCUGCUGGAUCGCGAUGCCGCACAGUGACCACGUUGCGCACACCGCCGUCAUAUCAUCAUCGCACUUCAUAUGUACACUGAAUAAACGUUCAAUUUAA